UCGGCAUUUGUAUAAAUCUGCGAUAAGGCUGAUAAUUUGAAAACAUUCCAGUCCUAUAACUUAAUGGUCCAAUCUUAAAAUUCUUCGACACGUGGUACAGGAUUAGCAAAGUGUAAGAGUGAAAGAAAUCUUUUUGCAUCGUACUGAUGGUCGAAUGGAGGGUAAUAUCUGCUUUUCAGGUAGAAACUCAAGCCUUCAGAAAGAAAAGAAGCAUCUUGAGACAGCUAUCCAUCCUUUACUACCAAAUCAUUCCAAUCCAGCAUCCUGGAGAAGGGUCUGUGGUAAUUGUCAUCUGACGAUUCUCUGGAAACACCAAAUGCCAGAGGUUUUGCUUUUACCAGAAAUAUAUUAAUCUGUCAUUCGUAAAAAAAAUUUAGGCAAACUAUACCCUUAAUAAAUUUUUGCUGCAGC